CUGAUUCAACCUAUUGAAUCAGAAAAUUGUGGAGGUGGGACCCAGGAAUUUGUUGUAUGUACCAGUCCUCCUCAUGGUUCUAGUGCACACUGAAGUUGGAGAAUAUUAUAGGAGAAUGGAAAGAGGUCCAGAGUUUGAACCAAGAGAUCUGAGCUCUAGUGUUGACUGUAGUAUAUGCCACUUUCACUUUCUUGAGCCUUAAUCUCUUCACCUAUGGAGGGAAGACAUAGACAGUGCCUUCAAAGAGCAUACAGUGUAGUUCUAGCUUGUCUGAAAACAAAAACAAUAAAAACACAAAACCGUACAGACCUAUGGCAUCAAGCUCUAGUCUGUGCACUUAGGAGCUCUGGGAGGACAGCAAGCUGGCCCAGUAGAAUUGGACAAAAUCCAAAUCCAGACACUUUCUUGUCACAGGUUGUCUGCCAUUUCCUUUGCUAUCCUUCUAUGAAACUAACAUAUUCCCUCACUCUUUGUUCUGCACAAUGUGCAUUUCAAGAAUGAAAUCGCUUGCUAAAUUUAGCCAUUAUUUGUGAGGAAAUGGUUGAGUCAUGACACAGCAGAACACAGUUGAGCAAUCCAAGAAUAAAACCUUGACUUCUCCUUUUGUGCCAUGCUCCCCUCUGAAUCGUGGCCCACUCACCCCGGAUAGAGCAGCAGAGCUCAAAGAGUCCAUCUCAGCUUCAGAGAUAGGAAGUGAAUUUAAGGCACAUUUUCAGGCCCGGAGACACCUUCGGUUCCCAGAGCAGGCUUUAUCUGCAUCUCAGUCGGGGCCCACUCAGAGGCACACCAGAAACAAUUAUGAAAGGUUAUGAAGGUGCCGUAUGCAGAUUGCCUGAACUCUCUUGAAUUGGUAUAUUUUCCUACAGGUUAAUUGCUAUAUAUUGUAUAAGUUAGGUCAAUAGCUCACGGAAAAGUGGAGAGCCACGAUAGGGGUUUGUUCAGAAUGCUGAUGACUUCCACACUAGCUGCAUGCUGCUGAGAGCUGAGAGACUGUGUGCUGAAAGCUGCUGAGAGCAGCUUAAGAGCAGUGUCAAGAGCUAGACAUCCUGGCUAAUUGUAAAUAGCCCCCUUUCAGCACUGCCUUUGAUUUCUCAUUAUGUCUUUAAAAUGAGACCCUCCUUCCUCCUCCUAACCCUGCACAAAAUUCACAAUCCCGCCUCUGUCCCCCUUUUUAUUGCUGUUGUCUAAAAUAUAUUAGACAUGGGGAAAAUGAGUCAUUUUUAGAGCAUCAUGCCUAAUAAUGAUAGAAUUUACAUAAAAGCAGCAUCUGGAGGGUAAUCUGGGGCAAUCUACGGCCAGGUGAAAUCUGGGGACCUCAGGUCCCGGUCCGCACCAGCUCCCAGCGCGCCUCAUCGCCAUGCCUCAGAAAAUUGAGGAAAUCAAGGACUUUCUGCUCACAGCCCGACGAAAGGAUGCCGAAUCUGUCAAGAUCAAGAAAAAUAAGGACAAGGUGAAGUUUGAAGUUCAAUGCAGCAGAUGCCUUUACACCCUGGUCAUCACUGACAAAGAGAAGGCGGAGACACUGAAGCAGUCCCUGGCCCCUGGUUUGGCAGUGAAGGAACUGAAAUGAGACAGACACACUGAUUUGAACUGUAUUAAAAUACUAA